UAAGGGGAUCUCUGUUACCCUAUUGCCCCAGUCAGCCUCCCGGCUUCUUCCCAGUCACAGGUCCCUGAACACCACCCUCCCCACACAGAGGGCAGGACCCGGCUCACUUCCUGCGGUGAUGUCACAGGUCCCUGAACACCACCCUCCCCACAGAGGGCAGGACCCGGCUCACUUCCUGCGGUGAUGUCACAGGUCCCUGAACACCACCCUCCCCACAGAGGGCAGGACCCGGCUCACUUCCUGCGGUGAUGUCACAGGUCCCCGGACAUUCCACGGUAUCGUGGAGACCAAGGUGGGCGAAGCUGAGGGCCUUAGGGGAAGGUCUUCCUCCUUCGGCUGGAGAGAACAUGGCAGGGAACAGAGGAGUGACCCUGUUCGUCCUGCUGCUAUCUUGCUGGCAUGAAGCCAAGCUCCAACCGAUCAAUAUGACUUCAGGUCCAACCACUGAAAUGCCACCCAGUUCAAAAAGUCAGGAGGAUAUGCCUGGAGUAUUUGAUGAAAUGCUAGUCCGAGAGAUGUUGGAUCCAAAUAAAUCAUCAAUGGCUGGAAAACAAAGGACGGCAUCAACAGUAGCAACAAAAUUAUUCACGGAAAAAAAUCCCAUCCUGAAUGAGAAUUUUCAAGUUGGUGUUCCUCAGAAUUAUCAUGGACUCCCAGAUAAUUCACAGUUCUCUCUUGGCAGUGAGGACAAAAUUUUCAAUAAUGAACCCAGCACUGAUGAGAGUUACCAAAUCGGCAGUCCUGAGGGUUAUGGUGGAUCACAGAUCUCUCCUGGUGGAAAGAAGAACUCACAAAAUGAGCAAUAUAAAAAACUAUCAAUUCUGGACAAAAUCCUUCAAAACAUUGGGAAAACUUCAGCAGGGAACUCUCUCCAGUAAGUGGAAGAGGACGGGGAGGCUCUGAAGAGGUGCAGAGGGCAGUCAGCAUGGCCAUCUGCUCCAAAGGAGCCCCCUCUAUAGGAAAUCCAGACUUCGUGAGACCCCACAGCCCCUCAGGAAUAAAGAGCAUAUAUGUACACAUGUUGUUAACCAUGCUGCACA